rnacentral:rRNA from 1 species
CUCCAGACUCCUACGGGAGGCAGCAGUAGGGAAUUUUGCGCAAUGGGCGAAAGCCUGACGCAGCAACGCCGCGUGAUCGAGACGCCCUUCGGGGUGUAAAGAUCUGUCAGUGGGGACGAAACUUGACGGUACCCACAGAGGAAGCACCGGCUAACUCCGUGCCAGCAGCCGCGGUAAUACGGAGGAUGCGAGCGUUAUCCGGAUUUAUUGGGUUUAAAGGGUGCGUAGGCGGACUGUCAAGUCAGCGGUAAAGCGCGGGGGCCCCCCCCCCGCCCGCCGUUGAAACUGACGGUCUUGAGUGGGCGAGAAGUAUGCGGAAUGCGUGGUGUAGCGGUGAAAUGCAUAGAUAUCACGCAGAACUCCGAUUGCGAAGGCAGCAUACCGGCGCCCAACUGACGCUGAAGCACGAAAGCGUGGGUAUCGAACAGGAUUAGAUACCCCUGUAG